GAGGAUAUAGCUCAGUGGUAGAGUGUGGGCCUAUUAUGCACAAGGCCCUGAGUUCAAUUCCCAGUACCUCCA
rnacentral:tRNA from 1 species